CGUUAGAGCAUUGAGAGGACCUUUCCCUAGUACGAGAGGAUCGGGAAGGACACACCUCUGGUGUACCAGUUAUCAUGCCCACGGUAAGCGCUGGGUAGCCAAGUGCGGAGCGGAUAACURCUGAAAGCAUCUAAGUAGUAAGCCCACCCCAAGAUGAGUGCUCUCCUAUUCCGACUUCCCCAGAGCCUCCGGUAGCACAACCGAGACAGCGACGGGUUCUCUGCCCCUGCGGGGAUGGAGCGACAGAAGUUUUGAGAAUCCAAGAAAAGGUCACAGCGAGACGAGCUGUUUAUCAUUACAAUAGGUGUCAUGUGGAAGUGCAGUGAUGUAUGCARCUGAGGCAUCCUAACAGACCGA
rnacentral:ncRNA from 1 species